AUAGGACAAAUAAAGCUGUGUGAACUUCAGACCAUGAUCUUCUCUUCAGUUCUACUUCUGCUGGCAGCAGCUGCAUCAUGUGGUGUUUUCUGUGUUGAGCUCACUCAACCUUCAUCUAUGGUUGUGAAA